UACAGAGGGUGCGAGCGUUAAUCGGAAUUACUGGGCGUAAAGCGCGCGUAGGCGGUUUUGUAAGUCGGGUGUGAAAUCCCCAAGCUUAACUUGGGAACUGCAUUCGAGACUGCAUAGCUAGAGUAUGGGAGAGGAGACUGGAAUUUACGGUGUAGCGGUGAAAUGCGUAGAUAUCGUAAGGAAGACCAGUGGCGAAGGCGGGUCUCAGGACAGUUCCUGACGCUGAGGCACGAAGGCCAGGGGAGCAAACGGG
rnacentral:rRNA from 1 species